UACAGAGGUCUCAAGCGUUGUUCGGAUUCAUUGGGCGUAAAGGGUGCGUAGGUGGCGCCGUAAGUCAGGUGUGAAAUUUCGGAGCUUAACUCCGAAACUGCAUUUGAUACUGCGGUGCUUGAGGACUGGAGAGGAGACUGGAAUUUACGGUGUAGCAGUGAAAAUGCGUAGAGAUCGUAAGGAAGACCAGGUGGCGAAGGCGGGUCUCUGGACAGUUCCUG
rnacentral:rRNA from 1 species